GAUUGCGGCUGGCUGGCGGCGGGGGGAAGACGGGGGUACCGGGCGUUAGCCGGAUUUAUUGAGUUUAAAGGGUGCGUAGGCGGCGAAUUAAGUCAGCGGUGAAAGACCGGGGCUCAACCAUGGCACUGCGGCGCGAACUGGAGGGCUUGAGUGCGCGGAAGGCAGGCGGAACUCGUGGUGUAGCGGUGAAAUGCUUAGAUAUCACGAAGAACUCCGAUUGCGAAGGCAGCCUGCCGCAGCGCAACUGACGCUGAGGCUCGAAAGCGCGGGUAUCGAACAGGAUUAGAUACCCCGGUAGUC
rnacentral:rRNA from 1 species